GACGAACGCUGGCGGCGUGCUUAACACAUGCAAGUCGAACGGAAAGGCCCUGCUUUUGUGGGGUGCUCGAGUGGCGAACGGGUGAGUAACACGUGAGUAACCUGCCCUUGACUUUGGGAUAACUUCAGGAAACUGGGGCUAAUACCGGCUAGGAGCUCCUGCUGCAUGGUGGGGGUUGGAAAGUUUCGGCGGUUGGGGAUGGACUCGCGGCUUAUCAGCUUGUUGGUGGGGUAGUGGCUUACCAAGGCUUUGACGGGUAGCAGGCCUGAGAGGGUGACCGGCCACAUUGGGAUUGAGAUGCGGCCCAGACUCCUACGGGAGGCAGCAGUGGGGAAUAUUGCACAAUGGGCGGAAGCCUGAUGCAGCAACGCCGCGUGCGGGAUGACGGCCUUCGGGUUGUAAACCGCUUUCGCCUGUGACGAAGCGUGAGUGACGGUAAUGGGUAAAGAAGCACCGGCUAACUACGUG
rnacentral:rRNA from 1 species